UACGUAGGGUGCGAGCGUUAAUCGGAAUUACUGGGCGUAAAGGGUGCGUAGGCGGUUGUUUAAGUCUGCCGUGAAAUCCCCGGGCUCAACCUGGGAAUGGCGGUGGAUACUGGGCAGCUAGAGUGUGGCAGAGGAUGGUGGAAUUCCCGGUGUAGAGGUGAAAUGCGUAGAGAUCGGGAGGAACAUCAGUGGCGAAGGCGGCCAUCUGGGACAACACUGACGCUGAAGCACGAAAGCGUGGGGAGCAAACAGG
rnacentral:rRNA from 1 species